AUAGGCUGAAAUAAUGAUGAUGAUUAUGAUGUUGAUACUAUUUAAAUAAGGUAAAUAUUUAAAGUAUGAUGAUAAGAAAUCAAAAUCUGCAAAAUCUCUAAAUCUAAAACAAAAUAUAAAUAAAAAUAGCUAGGUGUAGCUUGGCUUUGAUCUUAGAAAAAUGUUACCAAUGGUAAUAUAUGUUUUUUUUGGUGAACCAGUGGUAGAUGUAGAUAAGAGAAAAAACAUAAAUUUUUAUUUUGUUUUAAACGUUUGUAAAUUAAAUUUAACUAAAUAAACUUUUUUUUGUAAAAU